rnacentral:tRNA from 1 species
GCCAGUGUGGUGUAGUGGUUAAGGGCACUCUAAUCUGAGAACCAGAUUUGAUGUCCUCCUCUGCACUCUGAUCUGGAGGAACCGGGUUUGAUUCCCAGCUCUGCCG